GAGUUUGUUUUAGGUUCGGCGAAAACUGCUAAUUCCUCGCCUCCAUGGCUCAAUUCCAUGGCUAACUCA
rnacentral:tRNA from 1 species